rnacentral:tRNA from 4 species
GGAGAGAUGGCUGAGUGGUUGAUAGCUCCGGUCUUGAAAACCGGUAUAGUUAUAGUAACUAUCGAGGGUUCGAAUCCCUCUCUCUCCU